rnacentral:rRNA from 1 species
UACGUAGGGGGCAAGCGUUGUCCGGAUUUAUUGGGCGUAAAGAGCGUGUAGGCGGCCAGGUAGGUCUGCUGUGAAAACUCGAGGCUUAACCUCGAGCUGUCGGCGGAAACCAUCUGGCUAGAGUCCGGAAGAGGAGAAUGGAAUUCCCGGUGUAGCGGUGAAAUGCGUAGGUAUCGUAAGGAAGACCAGUGGCGAAGGCGGGUCUCUGGACAGUUCCUGACGCUGAGGCACGAAGGCCAGGGGAGCAAACGGG